rnacentral:tRNA from 1 species
GGGCCUGUAGCUCAGUUGGUUAGAGCAACCGGCUCAUAACCGGUGGGUCCCCGGUUCAAGCCCGGGCAGGCCCA